CUCAUUUGACAUGCAUGUUGUACUCAUUGGGUAAAGUAAGUCAUGGUCAUCACACAACUUGAACUUUGGGGACAGUGGGAAGGACGACCAGACUCCUGCCAGAAUGGAGUUGGGGUGAGGGGUCCACUGAGGCAAUAGCUCUCAGCUCACUAGGUUGGAAGCCAGGAAAGAGAAUAAGAAGGCUUCCAACAAGGCUUCCAUGCCCAGGCAGCCCGGGCUCUCUGUCUCAGUGCUGGAGAGUGGCAGAAGUAAGUGGACACAGGGGCCCACACCUUGGUUUGUCCCAGUUCCAGGAGGUGAGACAUGUGACAGCAAAUUCCAUUCACUGGGCCUCGGCGGCUGGUUCAGACGUGAGCAUAAGACCUAAGUUGGUCCCAUCAGACUGAAUCUCAGGACACCAUGCCAGGAAUUCUAAGACACAGGUGCUUCCUCUAGCUCUAGCUCAUGUCAUCGUGCAGGAGUGAGGCCUGGAACAGUGGUAGCUGUGUUGCUGCCAUGACGGAAGUCGGCCUGAGAUGAGACUGGCUGCAGAGUCAAGCACAGGCAGAAUCAUGGAGCAAUGAACUUCUAUUUAGAUACUCAAUAAUCCCAGCACCAUUUAUUAAAAAGCCUUUCCUUUCCUACUGCUUGGCCAGCUUUGUCAUAAAUCAAAAGUGCACAUAUUCACAGGUCUGAGUGUUUGGCUCCCCUCAUACUAAGGUCUUCAACCGUCUGCAGCCCAAAUCCUCGCACAAAGCCACCACAGACCAGAUAGUCCCAGAAAAACACCUUGCAACAACACUCCAGUCACCAGCCGUACAUGGGACUGGUGGAAACAGGAAACUGGAAACAGGAAACAGAAGUGCCACUUUAGUGAGCUGCUGUGAGGACAAUAUCAGCAAAUGCGCCUAGGACAGUCCAGCGCAGCCGCCCAGGCUGGGGUAGUCAAUGCACAUUCCCCUCUCCUCUCCCUUCCCUCCCGUGUCUCCAUAUGAAGUACUUAGAGGCUUUCCCAGUGUUCCUCCAAGCAGGGUGCUCCCAGGAGUUCUUGCCUAGCAGAGUGGUGUUGCCACCAAACGCCUCCAGCCAAUGAAAAGGAAGCAGCCAAGUGUGUGACCACAACAUCCAUCACCCUAGAAACAUUGCCCCCACUUCCCAACAGCCAGUGGUCAGGAGAGGGACAGCACCCUGGGCAGGCACCUCUGUGGAUUUCAUGAGCUGAACCACACAAAACCUUGGCAGCAGGACCUGGCCCAGAGCAAGAGCUCAAGCAUUGUUGGCUGCUGCUAGGAGAGUUUUUAUUUUUUUUUAUUGUUAUUAUUUUUUUAAGAUGGAGUUUCACUCUUAU
rnacentral:lncRNA from 10 species